GGACCCGCACAAGUAGUGGAGCAUGUGGUUUAAUUCGAAGAUACGCGCAGAACCUUACCAGGGUUUGACAUCCUGCGAAUCUCUUGGAAACGAGAGAGUGCCUUCGGGAACGCAGUGACAGGUGGUGCAUGGCUGUCGUCAGCUCGUGUCGUGAGAUGUUGGGUUAAGUCCCGCAACGAGCGCAACCCACGUCUUUAGUUGCCAGCAUUUAGUUGGGCACUCUAGAGAGACUGCCGGUGAUAAACCGGAGGAAGGUGUGGAUGACGUCAAGUCAUCAUGCCCCUUACAUCCUGGGCUACACACGUACUACAAUGCUACGGACAAAGGGCUGCAAGUUCGCGAGGACAAGCAAAUCCCAUAAACCGUGGCUCAGUUCAGAUCGUAGGCUGCAACUCGCCUACGUGAAGGCGGAAUCGCUAGUAAUCG
rnacentral:rRNA from 1 species